rnacentral:rRNA from 1 species
CUUCGGGGAUGAAUUAGCGGCGAACGGGUGAGGAACACGUGAGAAAUCUGCCUUCAACACUGGGAUAACUCCGGGAAACCGGGGCUAAUACCGGAUAUGAAACUCAGCGGCAUCGCUGGGUUUGGAAAGUUUUUCGGUUGAAGAUGAUCUCGCGGCCUAUCAGCUUGUUGGUGAGGUAAUGGCUCACCAAGGCGACGACGGGUAGCCGGCCUGAGAGGGCGACCGGCCACACUGGGACUGAGACACGGCCCAUACUCCUACGGGAGGCAGCAGUGGGGAAUAUUGGGCAAUGGAGGAAACUCUGACCCAGCGACGCCGCGUGCGGGAUGAAGGCCUUCGGGUUGUAAACCGCUUUCAGCAGGGAAGAAGCGAAAGUGACGGUACCUGCAGAAGAAGCACCGGCUAACUAUGUGCCAGCAGCCGCGGUAAUACAUAGGGUGCAAGCGUUGUCCGGAAUUAUUGGGCGUAAAGAGCUCGUAGGUGGUUCGUCACGUCGGAUGUGAAAAUCUG